UACGAAGGGGGCUAGCGUUGCUCGGAAUCACUGGGCGUAAAGCGCACGUAGGCGGAUUGUUAAGUCAGGGGUGAAAUCCUGGAGCUCAACUCCAGAACUGCCUUUGAUACUGGCGAUCUUGAGUCCGGGAGAGGUGAGUGGAACUGCGAGUGUAGAGGUGAAAUUCGUAGAUAUUCGCAAGAACACCAGUGGCGAAGGCGGGUCGCUGGACAGUUCCUGGACACUGAGACACGAAGGCCAGGGAGCAACAGG
rnacentral:rRNA from 1 species